rnacentral:sRNA from 1 species
AGCUUUUACUUUGGGUAUUGGUUUAGCCAUAGGCGCGCCUGAUACCCCACAGGCGCCCUUUAUAAACGGGUCGCCACCAGAGAAAAAGUAAAACCCCGGUCGGCUUCCCGAUCGGGG